AACUUUUAGCAAUGGAUCUCUUGGCUCUCGCAUCGAUGAAGAACGCAGCGAAAUGCGAUACGUAAUGUGAAUUGCAGAAUGCAGUGAAUCAUCGAAUCUUUGAACGCACAUUGCACUCUCUGGUAUUCCGGAGAGUAUGCUUGUUUGAGUAUCUGUAAACAUCUCAAAUCUCUCGACUUUCGAGUCUGAGAGAAUUGGACUUCAGCAAUCCCAACUCCUUCGUCAGAAAGAGGAGGGUUGCUGCAAAUGCAGGUGCAGCUGGGACUUCUUCUGAGCUAACAGCAUAUUUAUUUAGUCCCGUCAAACGGAUUAUUGUUCUUGCUUCAGCUUACAUAGAGGUCGAAUGACUACCCAGGCUGAUUGCAGGUAAACUCGUUCAGUUAAAAAGAACUGGUGAACUCGCUCUCAAAUCAAGUAAGACUACCCGCUGAACUUAAGCAUAUCAAUAAGCGGAGGCU
rnacentral:misc_RNA from 1 species